AACCAGUACCGUGAGGGAAAGGUGAAAAGCACUUCGAACAGAAGAGUGAAAUAGUUCCUGAAACCGUGCGCCUACAAGCGGUCGGAGCUCGUUAAUGAGUGACGGCGUGCCUUUUGCAUAAUGAACCUACGAGUUGCCUUUGCCGGCAAGGUUAAGUGUGACGACACACGUAUCCGAAGCGAAAGCGAGUCUGAACAGGGCGUAUAGUCGGCAGUGGCAGACGCGAAACCAAGUGAUCUACCCUUGGCCAGGUUGAAGGCUGGGUAACACCAGCUGGAGGACCGCACCAAUAAGCGUUGAAAAGCUUCUGGAUGAGCUGAGGGUAGGGGUGAAAGGCUAAUCAAACUUGGAGAUAGCUCGUACUCCCCGAAAUGCAUUUAGGUGCAGCCUUGUGAGUUACUAAUGUGAGGUAGAGCGACUGAUAAGAUGCGAGGGCUUCACCGCCUAUCAAGUCUUGAUAAACUCCGAAUGCGCAUUAGUUCUAUCACAGGAGUGAGGGCAUGGGUGCUAAGGUCCAUGUCCUAAAGGAGAAGAAUCCGGACCAUCAGCUAAGGUCCCGAAAUAGAUACUAAGUUGAACUAACGAAGUCAGAUUGCUAAGACAGCUAGGAUGUUGGCUUGGAAGCAGCCAUUCAUUUAAAGAGUGCGUAACAGCUCACUAGUCGAGGAGUUUGGCGUGGAUAAUAAUCGGGCAUAAGUAUUCUACCGAAGCUUUGGGAUGAGAAAUCAUCGGUAGGGGAGCAUUCCACUCCGCGUCGAAGGUGAAGCGUGAGCUUUGCUGGAGCGUGUGGAAAAGCAAAUGUAGGUAUAAGUAACGAUAAAGGGGGCGGGAAACCCCCUCGCCGAAAGACUAAGGUUUCCUGAUCAACGCUAAUCGGAUCAGGGUCAGUCGGGUCCUAAGGCUCAGCCGAACGGCGAUGCCGAUGGCAGAAACGGUUAAUAUUCCGUUACUACCUUCAGGAGUGACGUGGAGACGCAGUAGUGACAGUGCCGCCAUCUGACGGAAUAGAUGGUUGAAGGGUGUAGGAGUCGAUCAUGGCAGGCAAAUCCACCAUGAGAUCCGAACCUGAUAGUAUGCCGCGUCCUUCGGGACAAGGCAAUAGUGCGCGUAAGCAUGCUGCCGAGAAAAUCCGCUAAACUUAAUCCUGCAGGUACCCGUACCGCAAACGGACACACGUAGUCGGGUUGAAUAUACUAAGGCGCUUGAGUGAUUCACGGUUAAGGAACUAGGCAAACUGACCCUGUAACUUCGGGAUAAAGGGUCCCUACCCUUUUAUGGGAGGGCGCAGAGAAUCGGUCCAGGCAACUGUUUAACAAAAACACAGGGCUGUGCGAAGUCGAAAGACGCUGUAUACAGCCUGACACCUGCCCGGUGCUGGAAGGUUAAGAGGAGAUGUCAUCGCAAGAGAAGCAUUGAAUUGAAGCCCCAGUAAACGGCGGCCGUAACUAUAACGGUCCUAAGGUAGCGAAAUUCCUUGUCGGGUAAGUUCCGACCUGCACGAAUGGUGUAAUGAUCUGGACACUGUCUCAACCGUGAGCUCAGUGAAAUUGUAGUAUCGGUGAAGAUGCCGAUUACCCGCGAUGGGACGAAAAGACCCCGUGAACCUUUACUAUAGCUUAUCAUUGAAUCUGGGCACGUGAUGUGUAGGAUAGGUCGGAGGCUUUGAAGCAGGUACGCCAGUAUUUGUGGAGCCGCUGUUGAAAUACGACCCUUUAUUUGUUUGGAUUCUAACCCGUGGAACGGGGACAUUGAUUGGUGGGUAGUUUGACUGGGGUGGUCGCCUCCAAAAGCGUAACGGAGGCUUCUAAAGGUGCCCUCCGGCCGAUUGGUAACCGGCCUUAGAGUGUAAUGGCAUAAGGGCGCUUGACUGGGAGACUAACAAGUCGAUCAGGUAGGAAACUAGAGCAUAGUGAUCCGGUGUUUCCGUAUGGAAGGGACAUCGCUCAAAGGAUAAAAGGUACUCCGGGGAUAACAGGCUGAUCCCUCCCAAGAGCUCAUAUCGACGGAGGGGUUUGGCACCUCGAUGUCGGCUCGUCACAUCCUGGGGCUGGAGAAGGUCCCAAGGGUUGGGCUGUUCGCCCAUUAAAGUGGCACGCGAGCUGGGUUCAGAACGUCGUGAGACAGUUCGGUCCCUAUC
rnacentral:rRNA from 1 species